rnacentral:tRNA from 1 species
GAGGGUAUAGCUCAGUGGUAGAGUGCAUGCUUAGCAUGUAUGUGGUCCUGGGUUCAAUCCCCAGUCCCUCCA